rnacentral:rRNA from 1 species
AGUUGAACGGGAUUUGUAUGGUGCUUGCACCAUGUAAUGAGAGUAGCGCACUGGUGAGUAACACGUGGGAACAUACCUUGAAGUGGGGGACAACAGUUGGAAACGACUGCUAAUACCGCAUAAUCCCUGAGGGGGAAAGAUUUAUCGCUUUAAGAUUGGCCCGCGGAAGAUUAGGUAGUUGGUGGGGUAAAGGCCUACCAAGCCGACGAUCUAUAGCUGGUCUGAGAGGACGAACAGCCACAUUGGAACUGAGACACGGUCCAGACUCCUACGGGAGGCAGCAGUGAGGAAUAUUGGGCAAUGGAGGAAACUCUGACCCAGCCAUGCCGCGUGAGUGAAGAAGGUUUUCGAAUUGUAAAGCUCUUUCGGAUGGGACGAUGAUGACGGUACCAUCUAAAGAAGCCCCGGCAAACUUCGUGCCAGCAGCCGCGGUAAUACGAAGGGGGCAAGCGUUGUUCGGAAUUACUGGGCGUAAAGGGUGUGUAGGCGGAUUUGUAAGAUAGUGGUGAAAUACCUGAGCUCAACUUAGGAAUUGCCAUUAUAACUAUAGAUCUGGAGUGACAGAGAGGAUAUUGGAAUACCCAGUGUAGAGGUGAAAUUCGUAGAUAUUGGGUAGAACACCAGUGGCGAAGGCGAGUAUCUGGCUGUCAACUGACGCUGAGGCACGAAAGCAUGGGGAUCAAAUAGGAUUAGAUACCCUGGUAGUCCAUGCUGUAAACGAUGAAUGCUAGUUGUCGGCAAAAGCCGGUGACGCAGUUAACGCGAUAAGCAUUCCGCCUGGGGAGUACGGUCGCAAGAUUAAAACUCAAAGGAAUUGACGGGGACCCGCAC